UUCUGUUUGCUGCUGCGAGGUGUUCUUGGUUUCAGGGUUCAGACGUGAAGUGGAGUCGGCUUCUUCAACACUGAGGACUGUCUUAAACAGUAUUUCACAGAAUGUUGAGACCGUAAAAAGCAGCUAUGAGUCUACCAGCUGUAUGUAAAGGAAGACUUUCUUUGAAGAACACGAUCCAUGCAUUUGAACCAGAACCUGACUCCGAAUCCAACUUUCAGUUUGAACCUAGCUGUUUGUCCUUUAGGAGCAAUG